GGAGAGAUGGCCGAGUGGGCGAAGGCGCACGCUUGGAAAGCGAAUCCCUGGAGCGACACCAGGCCACUCCG
rnacentral:tRNA from 1 species